GGGGUUGUGGCUCAGAGGUAGAGCACUCACCUAGCAUGUUCGAGGCCCUGGGUUCAAUCCUCAGCACCACA
rnacentral:tRNA from 1 species